rnacentral:tRNA from 1 species
AGAGCAUCCGCCUUCUAAGCGGACGGUCGCGCGUUCGAUCCGCGCCGAGCGCACCA